rnacentral:pre_miRNA from 1 species
UAUUAGGUUGGUGCAAAAGUAAUUGCGGUUUUUACAAUCAAAAGUAAUGGUAAAAGCCACAAUUACUUUUGCACCAACCUAAUA